UCGGGAAUUUUGGGCAAUGGGGGAAACCCUGACCCAGCAACGCCGCGUGAAGGAUGAAGUAUUUCGGUAUGUAAACUUCGAAAGAAUAGGAAGAAUAAAUGACGGUACUAUUUAUAAGGUCCGGCUAACUACGUGCCAGCAGCCGCGGUAAUACGUAGGGACCAAGCGUUGUUCGGAUUUACUGGGCGUAAAGGGCGCGUAGGCGGCAUGACAAGUCACUUGUGAAAUCUCUGGGCUUAACCCAGAACGGCCAAGUGAUACUGUCGCGCUAGAGUGCAGAAGGGGCAAUCGGAAUUCUUGGUGUAGCGGUGAAAUGCGUAGAUAUCAAGAGGAACACCUGAGGCGAAGGCGAGUUGCUAGGCUGACACUGACGCUGAGGUACGAAAGCUAGGGGAGCGAACGGGAUUAGAUACCCGCGUAGUCCCUGAGCGGGCUGGCAAGGCGCAU
rnacentral:rRNA from 1 species